CAGUUUUUGUGGGAUAAGGAACAGUCUGGGAGGCACCUGUAUAGAAUUCAAGGAAAAGUGGGGAAGAACAGGAAUGCAUACAGAUGUAAGCAAGAAGAAGACAUUGUGUCCAGAAUGAGGCUAGGACAUACAGGAUUAAAUGGAACAUUAUUUAUAAUGAAAAAGCAUGUUGAUGGAAUGUGUGAAUAUUGCAAAAGUCAAGAGACCAUAGAGCAUGUAAUAAUGUAUUGUCCUAAAUAUCAUCAAGCCAGACAAAGAUUGAUUUCACAACUUGUUGAAAACCAGAUGACAUUACAUUUACCUGAUAUACUGCAAAAAAGGUCUGGUGAAAUUUGUUUUAAUUUUUUGUUUUCUUUUUUGAAGAUAACUGGGUUAUUUAUAAGGAUUUAAGAAAGUGUAGGUUGACCUCUUGAACCACACUCCAGCCCAGAUGGUGGCGGUAAUGCUCCAAAAGCUGGUUGCCAACCACCAUUCAAAAUCACAAGAAGAAGAAGAAGGAGGACCCUCCUUUUCAGAGUCAUUCACACAUGUGCAGGGCAAGAUUGUGCAUCAAGUUGAAUCCUCAGAUUGUAGUAUGAUUUGGUGUGCGUGCAUCUAAUGAACCACACCCAAGCUCCCAAGCUUCCAUUCACCUGAUCAUCUCUGUUCUGUGUUGUGGGUGUGAAGAUUUAAUGUGUAAUAAAUCUUUGAACGAC